rnacentral:rRNA from 1 species
AUUGAACGCUGGCGGCAGGCCUAACACAUGCAAGUCGAAUGGUAACAGGAAACAGCUUGCUGUUUCGCUGACGAGUGGCGGACGGGUGAGUAAUGUCUGGGAAACUGCCUGAUGGAGGGGGAUAACUACUGGAAACGGUAGCUAAUACGCAUAACGGCGCAAGACCCAAGGGGGGGGCCUUUGGGGCUCUUGCCAACAGAUGUGGCCAGAUGGGAUUAGCUAGUAGGUGGGGUAACGGCUCACCUAGGCGACGAUCCCUAGCUGGUCUGAGAGGAUGACCAGCCACACUGGAACUGAGACACGGUCCAGACUCCUACGGGAGGCAGCAGUGGGGAAUAUUGCACAAUGGGCGCAAGCCUGAUGCAGCCAUGCCGCGUGUAUGAAGAAGGCCUUCGGGUUGUAAAGUACUUUCAGCGGGGAGGAAGGGAGUAAAGUUAAUACCUUUGCUCAUUGACGUUACCCGCAGAAGAAGCACCGGCUAACUCCGUG